AGUAGUCACGAGUUUGAUCAUGGCUCAGAACGAACGCUGGCGGCAUGCCUAACACAUGCAAGUCGAACGAGACCUUCGGGUCUAGUGGCGCACGGGUGCGUAACACGUGGGAAUUUGCCUCGGGGUAUGGAAUAACUCAGGGAAACUUGAGCUAAUACCAUAUAAUGUCUUCGGACCAAAGAUUUAUCGCCCUGAGAUAAGCCCGCGUAGGAUUAGCUAGUUGGUGAGGUAAAGGCUCACCAAGGCGACGAUCCUUAGCUGGUCUGAGAGGAUGAUCAGCCACACUGGGACUGAGACACGGCCCAGACUCCUACGGGAGGCAGCAGUGGGGAAUAUUGGACAAUGGGCGAAAGCCUGAUCCAGCAAUGCCGCGUGAGUGAUGAAGGCCUUCGGGUUGUAAAGCUCUUUUACUCGGGACGAUAAUGACGGUACCGAGAGAAUAAGCCCCGGCUAACUCCGUG
rnacentral:rRNA from 1 species